rnacentral:rRNA from 1 species
UGGGGAAUAUUGGACAAUGGGGGCAACCCUGAUCCAGCAAUACCGCGUGUGUGAAGAAGGCCUUCGGGUUGUAAAGCACUUUAGGUUGGGAAGAAGUUGCGUAGUUUAAGAGAUAAUGCAAUUGACGGUACCAACAGAAUAAGCACCGGCUAACUCUGUGCCAGCAGCCGCGGUAAUACAGAGGGUGCAAGCGUUAAUCGGAGUUACUGGGCGUAAAGGGCGCGUAGGCGGUUGUAUAAGUGAGAUGUGAAAUCCCUGGGCUUAACCUAGGAACUGCAUCUUAUACUGUAUGACUAGAGUAUUGUAGAGGGUAGUGGAAUUUCCGGUGUAGCGGUGAAAUGCGUAGAGAUCGGAAGGAACACCAGUGGCGAAGGCGGCUACCUGGACAAAUACUGACGCU